rnacentral:rRNA from 1 species
UACGUAGGGUGCAAGCGUUUGUCCGGAAUUAUUGGGCGUAAAGAGCUCGUAGGCGGUUUGUCGCGUCUGCCGUGAAAGUCCGGGGCUCAACUCCGGAUCUGCGGUGGGUACGGGCAGACUAGAGUGAUGUAGGGGAGACUGGAAUUCCUGGUGUAGCGGUGAAAUGCGCAGAUAUCAGGAGGAACACCGGUGGCGAAGGCGGCUUUCUGGACGACAACUGACGCUGAGACGCGAAAGCGUGGGGAGCAAACAGG